GCCCUGGCAGUCAUUAGUAUAGAUCUCAGUGGCCCUGGCAGUCAUCAGUAUAGAUCUCAGUAGCCCUGGCAGUCAUCAGUAUAGAUCUCAGUGGCCCUGGCAGUCAUCAGUAUAGAUCUCAAUCUCAAUGUCCCCAGCAGGCACCAGUAGAGAUCUCAAUGUCCCCAGCAGGUACCAGUAGAGAUUUCAAUGUCUCCAGCAGGCACCAGUAGAGACCUCGAUGUCCUCAGCAGUCACCAGUAGAGAUAUAAAUGUCUAUAGCAGUCACCAGUAGAGAUCUCAAUGUCUAUAACAGUCACCAGUAGAGAUUUCAAUGUCCCCAGCAGGCACCAGUUAAGAUCUCAAUGUCCCCAGCAGGCACCAGUUGAGAUCUCAAUGUCCCCAGCAGGCACCAGUUGAGAUCUCAAUGUCCCCAGCAGGCACCAGUUGAGAUCUCAUUGCCCCCAGCAGUCACCAGUAGAGAUCUCAUUGCCCCCAGCAGUCACCAGUAGAGAUCUCAAUGUCCCCAGCAGUCACCAGUAGAGAUCUCAAUGUCCCCAGCAGUCACCAG